rnacentral:rRNA from 1 species
AGAAUCAACGCUGGCGGCGUGCCUAACACAUGCAAGUCGAACGAGAAAGUGGAGCAAUCCAUGAGUAAAGUGGCGCACGGGUGAGUAACACGUGACUAACCUACCCUUGAGUGGGGGAUAACCUAGGGAAACCUGGGCUAAUACCGCAUAAUACCUUCGGGUCAAAGGAGCAAUUCGCUUAAGGAGGGGGUCGCGGCCGAUUAGUUAGUUGGCGGGGUAAUGGCCCACCAAGACCGUGAUCGGUAUCCGGCCUGAGAGGGCGCACGGACACACUGGAACUGAAACACGGUCCAGACUCCUACGGGAGGCAGCAGUGGGGAAUUUUGCGCAAUGGGGGAAACCCUGACGCAGCAACGCCGCGUGGAGGAUGAAGCCCCUUGGGGCGUAAACUCCUUUCGAUCGGGACGAUUAUGACGGUACCGGAAGAAGAGCCCCGGCUAACUUCGCGCCAGCAGCCGC